ACUGUGUGUAUGGAGGCAGCAGUGAGACUGUGUGUAUGGGGCAGCAGUGAGACUGUGUGUAUGGGGGCAGCAGUGAGACUGUGUGUAUGGGGGCAGCAGUGAGACUGUGUGUAUGGGGGCAGCAGUGAGACUGUGUGUAUGGGGGCAGCAGUGAGACUGUGUGUAUGGGGGCAGCAGUGAGACUGUGUGUAUGGGGGCAGCAGUGAGACUGUGUGUAUGGGGGCAGCAGUGAGACUGUGUGUAUGGGGGCAGCAGUGAGACUGUGUGUAUGGGGCGGGAGGGUGUGUGGGAGCAACUCCUGAGGUGGCCUUGGCACUUUUCUUGUUAUGACCCCAGUGAGCUUCCGUAGCUAUCCCAUCCCAAUAUUCCCUCUUUAUUCCCUAAUUCCGGGUGCAGUCUGGGCGCGGAAUGGUUAAUGCGGAUACACAGGAAAGCUAAGCUGCUCAUUGGUCAGAUUGUUCAGUUCCCGCCCCUUCUACAGACUGAUCCGUGGCGGCUCCCGUACCCGGGCGCGAUGUGCCCUGUGAGUGUCGGUGGCACCGCGGGAAUGUUCCCGGCUCUCAUGGUGCGUUCCCCCCCCCCCCUCGGGCACGACUGGGUAAGGAGUGAGCUGCAUUCUCAUUGGUCACUUGUGUAACUCCCAGCAACUCCCGGGGAGUCACUCUGACUAUUCCUGUAGCGGAAAUAUCCUGAUGGAUCCACGAACAUGAGAAGGGGCAGAUCUGCAGCGGCACAAAUGGAGGAGGCCCAGGAAUUCUGGAAGUGGCACCCGGAGCGCUGAUGGAACAUGGGGCCCCCGGUACCAAAUUUGAGAUAUCAGCUGAUUCGCAUGAAGAUCCCCAGACCAAUUGCAUGUGUGCAUCACAUGGGCGGGACCAGCUGAUCUACCGGCCCCUGAACCAACCAAUGUCGAUUGGAAUCUCUGUGCCAGAAUUGCUGCAACAGGAGUUGGACAGAAUCGUGGAUUUUGCACCAAUAAACACCAGGGAGGUUCCAGCCAAUCAUGUGCUGCUCUUAUACAAUAAAGGGAACUGUUGCACUUGG